CUUGUGGAAGCAGGAGACAACUGUAAGGAGAAGAAACCUCAUUGGCUCUUUAAUUUGCUCUUGCAGGGAAAAUAUAGAGAACGCAGGAAAACACCCAGAUUGAGAUUUGGCUGCCCAAGCUGCAAAUACUUAGGAAACCAAACAACUGGCCUGACCUCAAGCACAACCCAAAUUCUCGAACCUCAUAUAAAGUGUGAACCUAAGAUACUUAAGAGAAGCCACUAAUUUCUGGUUCAGAGUGAAAAUAAGGGCACCUACAAAACAGGGAGAGUGAGGAAUGAAGCCAUUGAAGCAACUUGGACGUCGGGAAUUCACUGAAGACCAGACUAAAGAGGGGCUUGUUCUAAUAGAAAUUCAUCUAAAAAGUUGGAGAUUCUGUAGAAGAUCUGAUGAAGAGGGCCAAUCACUGAGGAAAAAUGGAUAGCAUCCUAAAACAGUGGGUAGUAAGGGAACCGGUAUGUCUGAUCUUUUAAAGGAAAGA
rnacentral:lncRNA from 10 species